rfam:Beta vulgaris subsp. vulgaris Bvchr4.sca017.con0135.1, whole genome shotgun sequence.
GGAGAGAUGAUUGUGUGGAUGAGAGCGCCAGAUUGCUAAUCCGUUGUGUGAGUCAUUCGUACCGAGGGUUCAAAGCCCUCUCUUUCCA